CAGUGAGCUGGGGGAAUGAAGAAAGGGGUUUCUGGAAGCCAACUUGAAGACACCGGUUUAAAAUAACUCUCGAACUCCAGCCCCAAGCCCAGCACCAUGGGGUGAUCUGCCCAAAUUCAUCAAGCACUUCGUACGUGCUGGAUCCCACGGUAUGCGUGUUAUAGACCCCUGUCAUUCGAUCCCCUCAACAACUCCACGAGUGCGGUUACAAAACUCGUGAAGUCAGGAGCUGGGGCAGCCAUCUUGCAAGCAUGAAGAGGCAAGCCUGAAGACAAAAGCCAGCAAUGCUGAGGAUGGAGAAGCCAAAAGAUGGGAAGGAACCGGGUUUUCCAUUUCAGCCUCUGAAUUUACUGAUCCUUGAACCACUCGGCCCCCAAACUUCUUGUUAUGCAAGAUGGAUUGCUGUGCCCAGACAUGCCUGGCUCUCAGCAGAAGAGCUCAUGUUGGGCUCUCCACUAUAGGUGUCUCUGGCCUCUCUGAAGAAAUAAUAAACUGCUUGUGGGUCCAAAGUU